rnacentral:rRNA from 1 species
CCUACGGGAGGCAGCAGUAGGGAAUCUUCCACAAUGGGCGCAAGCCUGAUGGAGCAACACCGCGUGAGUGAAGAAGGGUUUCGGCUCGUAAAGCUCUGUUUUUGGAGAAGAACGUGCGUGAGAGUAACUGUUCACGCAGUGACGGUAUCCAACCAGAAAGUCACGGCUAACUACGUGCCAGCAGCCGCGGUAAUACGUAGGUGGCAAGCGUUAUCCGGUUUUAUUGGGCGUAAAGCGAGCGCAGUCGGUUGGUUAGGUCAGAUGUGAAAGCCUUCGGCUUAACCGAAGAAGUGCAUCGGAAACCGGGAAACUUGAGUGCAGAAGAGGACAGUGGAACUCCAUGUGUAGCGGUGGAAUGCGUAGAUAUAUGGAAGAACACCAGUGGCGAAGGCGGCUGUCUGGUCUGCAACUGACGCUGAGGCUCGAAAGCAUGGGUAGCGAACAGGAUUAGAUACCCUGGUAGUC